rnacentral:rRNA from 1 species
UGGCGGCCUUAGCGCGGUGGUCCCACCUGACCCAUGCCGAACUCAGAAGUGAAACGCCGUAGCGCCGAUGGUAGUGUGGGGUCUCCCCAUGCGAGAGUAGGGAACUGCCAGGUA